rnacentral:lncRNA from 1 species
UAUAUGUAUGUAGAGCUUUAUAGUUAUUUUGUUACUUUAGGAAGGGACCAAAUUUUAAUUUCACGCACCAGAAGAUAGAGAAAAUAUGAAAAAUGCGUAACAGGUAACGUAUAGUCUUCGGCUUAAAUUUGAACAAAUUUUAAAGUUGAUUUUGUCGAAGGGCUAAAUUGGGACGAUGAAAUUAUUCCUCGGAUUUUCAUCGCUCGAGCUUCAGACGGCUUCUUCCACGGGGAAACUAAAAAAGACGCUGCCAAAAUCCGAGCGGGCUUACGUGUUGUGGGAAUGACGUCACAGUUUGGCGGCCCUUCGCCGAGAGAGGGCCCAGUUCGUGUGAGGACGCGCGACGGGUGAAGUGAGCGCGAGUGCUAGUUUUUGAACGAUUAUUUAUUUUUUAUUAUUUUUUAAUCGGCCGAUUUUGUAAACGGCAUGUUAACGAUCCGCACCAAGUGAAAUAACAACAUCAUGUCAGUGCCAGGCUACUCUUGGAUUUGUGUAUCUGUGAUCUUAAUUUUAGGAUUCCAUCAAGGAAAUGGACUUGAUUGGCAAAGUCAGACACCUUCAUCCGCCGCAUCAACCAAAGCACCUGGACUGAGCUGGGGGAGUCAUGCGCCAUCUGAGACGGAAUGUCGACCAUACAUUGAGAGAGCCUUAAAGGACCUGGAAGCCCCACACGAUCCUUCAGUGUCCGUAGAGGAGACAAGGAACGUUCAGAAUGAUUCAAACGAAAAUGCAGACAGCCAGGAAGGAAGCACGGGAGAGAUCUCAAGCUCUGAAGCUGAAACUCAUCCGGUGUCGGACGAAGCCGUAACAGAGAGUUUGGAAAACAGUUUAGGGGCUGACAGCACAGAAACAGCUGAGAGUGAACCUGCCCUUGCUGCGGCAGAAUCACCAAACACCGAAGACCAUUCAAAAACUGAAACCAGCGAUGAACACACAGAGGCAGAAGUUGUAAGCCACGAGGAGGCUUCACAAGCAGAGAGCACUGAAAAGUGUUGA